rfam:Acyrthosiphon pisum strain LSR1 Contig25987, whole genome shotgun sequence.
AAAACGGCCCUUUUCAGGGCCACCAAUUUCUAUUAUUAUUAUUUAG